UCAUCAAUAUGGUAUAUUCUUGCCUGUUACUCAUUGAUGUAUUAAUGAUUGGUAGUUGCAUGACAUGUAAUUAGUGUCUCUGCAGCAACUUGGAAACUCCUUGUUGCUUCUUUCUGAU